rnacentral:pre_miRNA from 1 species
UUUGACUCUUCGUCUUAUUUAAAAUUGUUUUGAUUAAUAUUUUUAUUGUCACUAGAUGGUAAAAGAUGAAUAGUACUUUAUGCGUGACUUAUUUUAAGAUUUAUACAAAUUGUUUAAAUAAGACGAAUGGUCAAA